CCAAGAGUUUGCGAGAGUGACAGAGCGAAGAGGAUGAAGGGACAGAGGAGGGAGACACUGGGAGAGCCAGAGCAGGCGGUGGGGAGAGGGAGAGAGACGCACGGAAGGAGAGACCGCGAGGAAAGGCAAAGGAUAACAAUAAGGAGAGGAAGGGAGAAAGAAGAGGAGGGAGAGAAUGAAAGACCCAAAACUUGAGAGAGAGGCAGAGAGAGAGACAGAGAAGCAGGAGAGAGAGGAGAAGAGACAGGCAACGGAAGCAAAGACGCCGCCCAGUCCGAGGAGCCGGGACCAGUCCCGCUGCGCACUUUCCCCCGCGGCAAAGCUGGGUCUCGGGAGGCGUCCGGGACAGCUCCCACUAGUGAUUGGAGACUGAGAGCCAAGUACUUAGCGGAGGGAUUACACUUCUCAUCGCACUUGGAGCGGCCCCAGCACCGCCGCCUGUGUGCGGAGCGCGGAGCCGACUUGGGGAGCGGCGGGGUGCGGGCUGGAGGCAGCCCGGUUCGAGGGGUGCGCUUCCCAAGCCCGUCCGCUGCUCAGAGCACCCCCAAGAUUUCCAUCAUGGGUCCUGUCCUGGUUAUGUUUAAGAAGGUUUCCAGAAAACCUCCUGGUUUGAGGAACAAAGAUUCGUGCGAUUAUUGUACCUUGAGAGCUGGAAAGGGCUCGCAGAGAUGAUAGAAUGUCGUGGAUUUCAACUUUUCAGGGCCAUAGGCACUUUUCAGAAAUUGAUGAAACGUUGACACGCCUCGUAAAAAAUGAACACAUCAAAAUUAUGCCUGCAGUUUGAGGUGGGAGUUUUAAGAAUCUUGAAAUAUAUACAGUUGAGCGUCCAAGGAAAAUGAAAUAUUUCCCUUCUACCUAUUUUUUGAAACCGUUAAAGAAAACUAACAACAACCAAAAAAUAAAAAAUAAAAACCCAAAAGAGAAAACCCAUUCCAUUUGUAUUUGAUGACAAUUUACAGUUAGUCGUGUUUCUUUUGGAAAAGCAUGUAACAUCUCAUACUUUGUGGUCUCCUUGCUAGGUCUUUAAGUGUUGAAACACUUUCUAAGUGGGUAAAUACAAAGUAAGCUAGUUCAAAGUCAGAAGAUUUGGGGAGAAUAGUUAACCUCUUUAAAAGCAGCUAUUUUGCCAACUGUAUUUCCUAGGGAGAUAUCUCGUGACUUCCAAACACUCUUUUCCUUUCAAUACCUUUCAGCUUCCCACUCUCCAGCGUUACUUAGUUUCUCCUUUUGUAAAAUUUUUUUCUUCCAAAAUAUUGACAAACCGUCUCUGGUCACCAC
rnacentral:lncRNA from 1 species